rnacentral:tmRNA from 1 species
GGGGGUGAUCUGGCUUCGACGGGGUCAGUGAAGCCGUGGCUGCGCGCCCAGGUCCUCGGGUUCCUGGUAAAACACUCGGGAAAGAUCCAACUGCCAACAACAACCUGGCUCUCGCUGCCUAACCCUUAGGGGUUAGCGCGGCAGUGCUCACGAGGAAGCCCGCCCGGGGCGUCGCGUGAGUAUCGCAAAUCUGGGCUAGCCCGCCGGUGCGUCUGCCGGCGGCGGGCGAAACUCUAGCAGACUCGUCCGGGAGUGGGCCGCCCACUGGCCAGCGACCGGAGACCUCAAUCGGUGGGCUACGCGCGUAGACGCUGCAGUCGAUCUUUUCUCGGACAGGGGUUCGAAUCCCCUCACCUCCAC